rnacentral:rRNA from 1 species
UUGCUUUCUUUGCUGGCGACCGGCGCACGGGUGAGUAACACGUAUCCAACCUGCCCUUUACUCGGGGAUAGCCUUUCGAAAGAAAGAUUAAUACCCGAUAGUAUAAUGAUUCCGCAUGGUUUCAUUAUUAAAGGAUUCCGGUAAAGGAUGGGGAUGCGUUCCAUUAGGUUGUUGGUGAGGUAACGGCUCACCAAGCCUUCGAUGGAUAGGGGUUCUGAGAGGAAGGUCCCCCACAUUGGAACUGAGACACGGUCCAAACUCCUACGGGAGGCAGCAUG